rnacentral:rRNA from 1 species
UCACCAAGACUUCGAUGGGUAGCCGGCCUGAGAGGGUGAACGGCCACACUGGAACUGAGACACGGUCCAGACUCCUACGGGAGGCAGCAGUGGGGAAUAUUGCACAAUGGAGGAAACUCUGAUGCAGCGACGCCGCGUGAACGAUGAAGGCUUUCGGGUCGUAAAGUUCUGUCCUAGGGGACGAUAAUGACGGUACCCUAGGAGGAAGCCCCGGCUAACUACGUGCCAGCAGCCGCGGUAAUACGUAGGGGGCGAGCGUUGUCCGGAUUUAUUGGGCGUAAAGGGUUCGCAGGCGGUCUCUUAAGUUAGAUGUGAAAGAUCACGGCUCAACCGUGGUAAGCAUUUAAAACUGGGAGACUUGAGUUAAGGAGAGGAAAGUGGAAUUCCUAGUGUAGCGGUGAAAUGCGUAGAUAUUAGGAGGAAUACCAGUGGCGAAGGCGACUUUCUGGACUUAUACUGACGCUGAGGAACGAAAGCGUGGGGAGCAAACAGGAUUAGAUACCCUGGUAGUCCACGCCGUAAACGAUGAGUGCUAGGUGUCGGGGGUCAAACCUCGGUGCCGCAGCUAACGCA